AGAACGUUUUGUAAAUAUUACAAAUAUGAUGCGUCACUGUGAUUAUUACUUAUUAAAAUCACUUUGUUUCCUGAUUUGGGUGAUUCAUCUCAACCAAAAGAAAGAUUUGUGCUGUUCUGGCUAACAAAAACUUUGCAAACCAAUGAGUGCUUCAUUUCGGCAGCCUAUUCUGUGCCGGUCACGAUGUCUGUCUACACUGGCAUCAAUUUCAGGUAAUCACUGAGCUUUCUGAAACGUUUUUGUUUGCGUAUUUGUUUUAGGGCAGAUCGAGUGUGACUUAGGUAAUAUGAUUGCAUUCGCAGGAAUUCACAGAGAUGAAAACACAGAUCUGAGAUCGUGCCAGAACGCAUAAGAAGUUCCCAAUGCAUAAGAGUAGAGCACGAGAACGCUAAAACGUUCAGAGUCUGCAUCUUGUGUCGAUGAGGAACUCAGAAGUGUUCUCCUUUCUGGGCUUUUUGACCCAUCCAAGACGAUAAAGCAGGUUCUCGAUCAUCUCUCCCCCAUCUUAUCUUGCUUCUUUUGCCUCCUUUUUAUCAUCACCAAAUACUUUGAGCAGCUGUAGGUGUUAUGGGUUAAAUAGUUUCUGGGUGGUUGGCCAUUUGGCCAGAGGGCAUCUGAGCAUCACCUGUGGUCAGCACUUUUUGGCUCAUGCGCGUUAGCAGUUUGGGACGUCAUAGGGAAUCCCCGAGGACAGAUGAGGUGGGGGAAGAGGCCAUACAUUUGGGCUUUCGUGCAUGUCAGGGUGGGGCUAAGUUGGAAACGUGGUAAUGAGGGAAGAUUUCCUAGAGAGACCGAUAGUGCCCAGGAUCCUGUGCCGGCAAUGGCUGCCACUUUCUGGCUGGGUGAUCAUGGGCAUAGCUGAGAAUAUAAAAAGUGUGAAUAAAUGAACAUGGUGUUGGAGAGAAGAGAAACAUUAUGUGCUAUUCCAUCGGCAACGGGAGGAUUCUUUGGAGCCAGUGCUGCCUUGGUGGGUGUGAGGUUCUUAUCUGCAACCUUGGGAAAUCCGAGUUUUCUCUCUUCCAGGAAAGAAGCAAGUGUGAAAGUAAGAAAAAGGAAGGAAUGUGUGUUCAAGGACUCACGGAAGAGAGACCUUCCAGAAGACACUGCAUCGGCUACUCUGAAAGACCCAACAGGAUGAAGACCAAGAGAAAGAAAGGAGGAAGCCACCGAUGACCUCGCCUUUCUUGGGGGAAACGUUUAUUUAUCACCGUUUAUCUCCAGCCACCUUUGUCUCUCAGCCCAGACCCACAUUUUCCAUGGCCUCCUCCUGAACAUCAUUGCCUUGCUAUUCCUUGGCUAGUUCAAGCUUAGCAUACCCCAAACAGAGCUCCACCCCUUCACUCCAGCCCCCCCAGCCCCUGAUCAGACAGAUAGACACCAGACUCAUUCACCUGUUUUCUCCAUCCUCCUUGGUUACGUCACCAUCCACCCUCAUCCACUGAGUAGCAUUCCAGAAUCUUCCCUUCCUCUCCCGGUGCACGUUUAGAUGACCCUUUAAAUAUCUCUUUGGCUAAUCUCUCCUCUCUAACCUCGAGGCUACAGCCUUAGGCCUUCCUCAUCUCUUAUCUAGACCAGCUCACCACCACCUUACCCCUGGUCCUCCCACUCUUAACCCGCCCUCCACACCUUCACACACUCUGAAUGCCUUUGGACCAUUUGCCUGACACAUAACACCCCAUUCCCAUUCUCCCCAGAAAAAAAGUCUUCCUUCUUUAAAAUAUCGCAAAUAAUAAGACAGUGAACAUGUGUGUCGAUACGACUCACUUUAAUCAUUCAGAUUAUUUCCUAGAGAUAAAUUCCCAGGGUUGAAGGCUGUGGAUAUUGGUAUCUAUCAACACUUUCACACAUCUGAAACUGAACACGAACACACCUCCCACCUGCCCGCCCCCCCUUUUGGUCUCCAUCUUACGUGUCUUUUUUAAAAAAAAACUUAAUUUUUGUGCCAUGA